rnacentral:lncRNA from 1 species
GCGUCCACGCCUCAAUGGCAGUGCCUGUUCCCCCCGGAGGCUAAUUGUUACUACAUACAGACGACGGGUCCGCCUAAGUAGUAUCUUACGGUCAGUCUGUGAAAUUUCAUCUAGCCCCAUAUAUUUUAUAUUAUUUAUAUUUUAUUUAUAAAUAUUAUAAAUAUUUUGAAAUAUAAAAUUUUAUUUAAUUCUUUAUACUCAAUUUAAUAGUAAAUAAAGCAUAUAAGGUUAGAUGAAAUUUGACAGGAAGACAGUAACUUACAUUCAAUAUAACUUAGGCGGAUUCCGUACAGUAUAUUAAAAAAUAUCAUCUCUUCCUCUUUUUAGAUGACGAAGGUCAAAUUUGUGUGGGAGUUAAGAGUUUUGGUCAAACUUACUGAUAGACUGGGGUGUAAAGACAGAAGAGCUCCAUACUUGAGACGUGUGCCAUUUGGUGGUGCGGUGUUCACAAGUUUGGAUUUGUCGACAAAGGUCGUCCGUGGGAAUUAGAAUUUUGGAUCGACAGAGACC